UGGGGAAUAUUGCACAAUGGGCGGAAGCCUGAUGCAGCGACGCCGCGUGGGGGAUGAAGGCCUUCGGGUUGUAAACUCCUUUCGACAGGGACGAAGCUUUUGUGACGGUACCUGUAUAAGAAGCACCGGCUAACUACGUGCCAGCAGCCGCGGUAAUACGUAGGGUGCGAGCGUUGUCCGGAAUUACUGGGCGUAAAGAGCUCGUAGGUGGUUUGUCGCGUCGUCUGUGAAAUUCCGGGGCUUAACUCCGGGCGUGCAGGCGAUACGGGCUGACUAGAGUGCUGUAGGGGAGACUGGAAUUCCGGGUGUAGCAGUGAAAUGCGCAGAUAUCAGGAGGAACACCGAUGGCGAAGGCAGGUCUCUGGGCAGUAACUGACGCUGAGGAGCGAAAGCAUGGGUAGCGAACAGG
rnacentral:rRNA from 1 species